CUUUCGGAGCUGUGCGGCAUUCUGAGCAGGAAUGGCAGUGUGGACCUCUGUGAUGGGACAUCUUGUGGGAUCUCACAGCCAGUUCUGUGGCAAAGGAGGAUGAAGGCUUACGAGGACUCGUCAGGAAGCUGGAUAACAGAGCGAGCGCAAUGUGCUAGAAUAGAAGACCAGAAAAUGAAAUGGUGGAGUUUGAGGCUGGAUAGACAGUUUGAAAGUUAACUGGUUGCAUGCUUGUUCAUUUGGCUGGCUUGCUUGGGUACAAAUAAUGGUUUGAAUAAAGAAAGGGCUCCUGUGACAAGUGGACAUGCAGUGACUGCACCUUUGUUUCUGAGGUGCCUGGAUGGAGGCUCAAAUAGAAGAUGGUGUCAGAUAUAUUGUGUUAAAAUUUUACCAUUAAAGUGUAUUAUAACAUGAA
rnacentral:lncRNA from 1 species